UACGUAGGGGGCUAGCGUUGUCCGGAUUUAUUGGGCGUAAAGAGCGUGUAGGCGGCCAGGUAGGUCUGCUGUGAAAACUCGAGGCUCAACCUCGAGACGUCGGCGGAAACCAUCUGGCUAGAGUCCGGAAGAGGAGAGUGGAAUUCCCAGUGUAGAGGUGGAAUUCGUAGAUAUUGGGAAGAACACCGGUGGCGAAGGCGGCUCUCUGGACCGUAACUGACGCUGAGGCGCGAAAGCGUGGGGAGCAAACAGG
rnacentral:rRNA from 1 species